AGCAGGACUACUGGAAUAGUCCAGUAAGAAGCUAGGGACAUCCUCAUUUAAAAAAAAUAAAUAAAUAAAACUGGAAAAAAAUUGUCCAAAGGCUUAUAAUAAAUUAUGAUGCUUUCAUGAAAAACUGAAUCUCAGGUAAGAAAAGGGGGAGUCUGUGGUAUUUUAGCCUGGAGCUUCUUCCAACUCUAUUCCCCCUCACCCUGCCCCAACUCAGGCACCAUGAUUGUUAUUCUAUAGGGAAAGGCAACUCAUGAAAACCUGAAGCUUUGCUGUGGGAGGGAACUCACUGGAUUUGGAGCAGAGCAUUGAUUGAAACAGCAGCAAUCUCAGUGACUAAAAAACCAGGAAGAUCUCAAGCUAGCCUGAGUUUAAGGUCCUCACUGGAGCAAGUAAGAGACCAGAGAUACAUGGGGAGUAAGAUAGCCCUAGUAGACCUUGAUAAACUCCUACAUAUACCUGGCAAGGCAUAUGUGCAGGAGAGACCAAAGAGAGACUUGGCUAUACUCAUAUUCAUUGAAGCAGACAGGAAUGUGCCUAACAGAGAGUAAAAGCUGGAACAGACUUAUAAACUGCAUUUGUAUGUGUUCCCCAACCCAUAGAUUUAUAACAAAACCAUUGCAGAAGGUAGAAGUCCUAGUAGCUCAGGGUGUUUGAGCACAGCCACUGAAAAAAAAUCAUUGACUAUUAAAUAAUGCUGACAUGGGUACAAUCCCUUGGAACAAGGCUUAUUAUUAUUAUUAUUACAUUAUUUAAAAUAUCCAGUUUUUAACAAAAUACUAUAAAAUACACUCAAUAACUGCAGAAUACUUGUUCUAUUUUGUUGCACAUGGAAGAUAAAUCAUGCAUUUUUUAUAAAGUUUAACUCCUAUAUAUGACAAAAGGAAAACUACAAAAACUAGGAAUAGUCAGGCACAGUGGCACACACCUGUAAUCCCAGAAAUUUAGGAAGUUUGAGGCAGAGAAUUGCAAAGUUCUAGGCCAGCCUAAGUAAUUUAGACACUGUUUCAAAAUAAAAUAUAAUAAAAAAGACUAGGGAUGUGGCUUAGUAGUAAAGUGCC
rnacentral:lncRNA from 1 species